CAUGAAGUUGGAAUCGCUAGUAAUCGCGGAUCAGCAUGCCGCGGUGAAUACGUUCCCGGGCCUUGUACACACCGCCCGUCACACCAUGAGAGUCGGGAACACCCGAAGUCCGUAGCCUGACCGCGAAGGGGGCGCGGCCGAAGGUGGGUUCGAUAAUUGGGGUGAAGUCGUAACAAGGUAAC
rnacentral:rRNA from 1 species